rnacentral:rRNA from 1 species
UCCGAAUUUACUGGGCGUAAAGAGCGCGUAGGCGGUCGAUUAAGUCGAAUGUGAAAGCCCCCGGCUCAACUGGGGAGGGUCAUUCGAUACUGAUCGACUUGAAGGCAGGAGAGAGAAGUGGAAUUCCCGGUGUAGUGGUGAAAUGCGUAGAUAUCGGGAGGAACACCAGUGGCGAAGGCGACUUCUUGGCCUGUUCUUGACGCUGAGGCGCGAAAGCUGGGGGAGCAAACGGG